CCCUUAGAUGUCCUGGGCCGCACGCGCGCUACACUGAACGGAUCAGCGCGUUUUCCCUUCCCGAGAGGGACGGGUAACCUGCUGAACCCCGUUCGUGGUAGGGAUCGGGGCUUGCAAUUAUUCCCCGUGAACCAGGAAUGCCCAGUAAGUGCAAGUCAUAAGCUUGCGUUGAUUACGUCCCUGCCCUUUGUACACACCGCCCGUCGCUACUACCGAUUGAACGUUUUAGUGAGGUGCUCGGACUGAGCCUCAGAAGAUUCACGUCUUUUGUGCUGCUCGGGAAGAUUCCCAAACUUGAGCGUUUAGAGGAAGUAAAAGUCGUAACA
rnacentral:rRNA from 1 species